rnacentral:rRNA from 1 species
GACGAACGCUGGCGGCGUGCUUAACACAUGCAAGUCGAACGGAAAGGCCCUGCUUUUGUGGGGUGCUCGAGUGGCGAACGGGUGAGUAACACGUGAGUAACCUGCCCUUGACUUUGGGAUAACUUCAGGACACUGGGGCUAAUACCGGAUAGGAGCUCCUGCUGCAUGGUGGGGGUUGGAAAGUUUCGGCGGUUGGGGAUGGACUCGCGGCUUAUCAGCUUGUUGGUGGGGUAGUGGCUUACCAAGGCUUUGACGGGUAGCCGGCCUGAGGGGGUGACCGGCCACAUUGGGACUGAGAUACGGCCCAGACUCCUACGGGAGGCAGCAGUGGGGAAUAUUGCACAAUGGGCGGAAGCCGGAUGCAGCAACGCCGCGGGCGGGAUGACGGCCUUCGGGUUGUAAACCGCUUUCGCCGGUGACGAAGCGUGAGUGACGGUAAUGGGUAAAGAAGCACCGGCUAACUACGUG